rnacentral:rRNA from 2 species
ACACGCAUGAAAGUCAAGCUGAAAGACUUUACUCAAUGAUGUAAGUGGUGGUGCAUGGUCGUUCUUAGUUCGUGGAUUGAUUUGUCUGGUCGAUUCCGAUAACGAGCGAGACCCCGGUGUUCCUAAUAGGGGCGGCAGCCCGUCCGGUCGCAAGGCCGGUCAGCUACCGCCUAAGAUGUACUUCUUAGACACAUCAAGGCCGAUAAGGUCUUUGAAAUGGGUUAAUAACAGGUCAGUCAUGCCCUUAGAUGUUCUGGGCCGCACGCGCGUUACAAUGGCACGUAUAAACAGUGCUAUCACAGGCGUUUCCCGGGCCUAACGGUCCGGGUAACCCUUAAUCCCUGCUUUGACUGGGAUAGAUCCUUGCAAUUAUUGGUCUCUAACGAGGAAUUUUUAGUAAGCGCAGGUCAUUAACCUGUGCUGA